rnacentral:rRNA from 1 species
AUUGAACGCUGGCGGCAGGCCUAACACAUGCAAGUCGAGCGAGCGGCGGACGGGUGAGUAAUGUGUGGGUACUGCCCGAUAGAGGGGGCUAACUACUGGAAACGGUAGCUAAUACCGCAUACUAUCGGAUAACCCAUAUUGGAUUAGCUAGUAGGUGAGGUAAUGGCGCACCUAGGCGACGAUCCCUAGCUGGUCUGAGAGGAUGAUCAGCCACACUGGAACGAAGACACGGCCCAGACUCCUACGGAGGCAGCAGUGGGGAAUAUUGCACAAUGGGCGCAAGCCUGAUACAGCCAUGCCGCGUGUGUGAAGAAGGCCAUAGGAUUGUAAAGUACUUUCAGUCGGGAGGCGUUACCGACAGAAGAAGCACCGGCUAACUCCGUGCCAGCAGCCGCGGUAAUAC